GACAGAGGGUGCAAACGUUUGUUCGGAAUUACUGGGCGUAAAGCGCGUGUAGGCGGCUCGGCAAGUCGGAUGUGAAAGCCCUGGGCUCAACCUAGGAAGUGCAUUCGAAACUGCAGAGCUUGAGUUCUGGAGAGGAAGGCGGAAUUCUCGGUGUAGAGGUGAAAUUCGUAGAUAUCGAGAGGAACACCUGUGGCGAAGGCGGCCUUCUGGACAGUGACUGACGCUGAGACGCGAAAGCGUGGGGAGCAAACAGGG
rnacentral:rRNA from 1 species